rnacentral:rRNA from 1 species
UACGUAGGGCGCAAGCGUUGUCCGGAAUUAUUGGGCGUAAAGAGCUCGUAGGCGGUCUGUCACGUCUGCCGUGAAAACCCGAGGCUUAACCUCGUGGCUUGCGGUGGAUACGGGCAGACUAGAGGUAGGUAGGGGAGAAUGGAAUUCCCGGUGUAGCGGUGAAAUGCGCAGAUAUCGGGAGGAACACCGGUGGCGAAGGCGGUUCUCUGGGCCUUACCUGACGCUGAGGAGCGAAAGCGUGGGGAGCGAGCAGG